GGUUUGUGGCUCAGUGGUAGAACACUUGCCUGGCAUGUGUGAGGCAUUGGGUUCAAUCCUCAGCACCA
rnacentral:tRNA from 1 species